rnacentral:rRNA from 1 species
UACGUAGGGUGCGAGCGUUGUCCGGAAUUAUUGGGCGUAAAGAGCUCGUAGGCGGUCUGUCGCGUCGAUCGUGAAAACUUGGGGCUUAACCCUGAGCUUGCGGUCGAUACGGGCAUGACUGGAGUUCGGCAGGGGAGACUGGAAUUCCUGGUGUAGCGGUGAAAUGCGUAGAUAUCUGGAGGAAUACCGGUGGCGAAGGCGGCAUCCUGGACCGGCAUUGACGCUGAGGAGCGAAAGCUAGGGGAGCAAACGGG